UUAAGUUAGAAAGGGCGCACGGUGGAUGCCUUGGCACUAGGAGCCGAUGAAGGACGGGACGAACACCGAUAUGCUUCGGGGAGCUGUAAGCAAGCUUUGAUCCGGAGAUUUCCGAAUGGGGAAACCCACCACUCGUAAUGGAGUGGUAUCCAUAUCUGAAUUCAUAGGAUAUGAGAAGGCAGACCCGGGGAACUGAAACAUCUAAGUACCCGGAGGAAGAGAAAGCAAAUGCGAUUCCCUGAGUAGCGGCGAGCGAAACGGGAUUAGCCCAAACCAAGAGGCUUGCCUCUUGGGGUUGUAGGACACUCUGUACGGAGUUACAAAGGAACGAGGUAGAUGAAGAGGUCUGGAAAGGCCCGCCAUAGGAGGUAACAGCCCUGUAGUCAAAACUUCGUUCUCUCCUGAGUGGAUCCUGAGUACGGCGGAACACGUGAAAUUCCGUCGGAAUCCGGGAGGACCAUCUCCCAAGGCUAAAUACUCCCUAGUGACCGAUAGUGAACCAGUACCGUGAGGGAAAGGUGAAAAGCACCCCGGGAGGGGAGUGAAAUAGAACCUGAAACCGUGUGCCUACAACAAGUUCGAGCCCGUUAAUGGGUGAGAGCGUGCCUUUUGUAGAAUGAACCGGCGAGUUACGUUAUGAUGCGAGGUUAAGUUGAAGAGACGGAGCCGUAGGGAAACCGAGUCUGAAUAGGGCGCCUUAGUAUCAUGACGUAGACCCGAAACCAUGUGACCUACCCAUGAGCAGGUUGAAGGUGCGGUAAGACGCACUGGAGGACCGAACCAGGGCACGUUGAAAAGUGCUUGGAUGACUUGUGGGUAGCGGAGAAAUUCCAAACGAACUUGGAGAUAGCUGGUUCUCUCCGAAAUAGCUUUAGGGCUAGCGUCGACAUUAGAGAUUCUUGGAGGUAGAGCACUGUUUGGGUGAGGGGUCCAUCCCGGAUUACCAAUCUCAGAUAAACUCCGAAUGCCAAUGAAUUAUGGUCGGCAGUCAGACUGCGAGUGCUAAGAUCCGUAGUCGAAAGGGAAACAGCCCAGACCACCAGCUAAGGUCCCAAAAUAAUUGUUAAGUGGAAAAGGAUGUGGGGUUGCACAGACAACUAGGAUGUUAGCUUAGAAGCAGCUAUUCAUUCAAAGAGUGCGUAAUAGCUCACUAGUCGAGUGACCCUGCGCCGAAAAUGUACCGGGGCUAAAACAAUUUACCGAAGCUGUGGAUACCUUUAUAGGUAUGGUAGGAGAGCGUUCUAUGUGUGAUGAAGGUAUACCGUGAGGAGUGCUGGAACGCAUAGAAGUGAGAAUGCCGGUAUGAGUAGCGAAAGACAGGUGAGAAUCCUGUCCACCGUAAGACUAAGGUUUCCAGGGGAAGGCUCGUCCGCCCUGGGUUAGUCGGGACCUAAGGAGAGACCGAAAGGUGUAUCCGAUGGACAACAGGUUGAUAUUCCUGUACUAGAGUAUGUAGUGAUGGAGGGACGCAGUAGGCUAACUAAAGCAGACGAUUGGAAGAGUCUGUCUAAGCAGUGAGGUGUGAAUUGAGUCAAAUGCUUAAUUCUAUAACAUUGAGCUGUGAUGGGGAGCGAAGUUUAGUAGCGAAGUUAGUGACGUCACACUGCCAAGAAAAGCUUCUAGCGUUUAAACAUACUCUACCCGUACCGCAAACCGACACAGGUAGUCGAGGCGAGUAGCCUCAGGUGAGCGAGAGAACUCUCGUUAAGGAACUCGGCAAAAUGACCCCGUAACUUCGGGAGAAGGGGUGCUGACUUAAAGUCAGCCGCAGUGAAUAGGCCCAAGCAACUGUUUAUCAAAAACACAGCUCUCUGCUAAAUCGUAAGAUGAUGUAUAGGGGGUGACGCCUGCCCGGUGCUGGAAGGUUAAGAGGAGUGCUUAGCGUAAGCGAAGGUAUGAAUUGAAGCCCCAGUAAACGGCGGCCGUAACUAUAACGGUCCUAAGGUAGCGAAAUUCCUUGUCGGGUAAGUUCCGACCCGCACGAAAGG
rnacentral:rRNA from 1 species